rnacentral:tRNA from 1 species
UUGAUUCUGGUGUAGUGGUAGCACCCGGCACUGUGAAUGCCGAGGGACCGGUUCAAAUCCGGUGAGUCAACCCA